GGUUCUUUGUGUCUGUUUUACUCGGCACCCUGUGGUGCUUAUCCAAGCUCUUUAAGAGAGAUUUGUGCUUGGAUCUGAUCCUUGUGAUACAUUAAGAAAGGCACCCCUGCUGAGUGACUGAGAGACCGGAUUCAGUAGCCAAAGUGCUUGGGUUCAGAUAUUCCUGUACCACUGUUAUCCUGCUAUCCUGGUUUGUUAGUCAAAAAGAAUAAAAUUGAAAUGUUAAGUUUUUUGAUGGCACAAUAUUAAUUAUCCAUCUUCAUUUUCAUUUGCACUCAGCUAUGAAAAAUUGAAGGUAAGUUGUACAAUAUUUUCUUUAGUCCCUUGUUAGUACAGACCCUGUUACCUCAACACACUAUCAAAUAUUUUGUGGAGAAAUAAAUGAAUACAUAAGGGUGUGGG
rnacentral:lncRNA from 1 species